AGAGUUUGAUCAUGGCUCAGGAUGAACGCUAGCGGCAGGCUUAAUACAUGCAAGUCGUGGGGCAGCGCAGGUAGCAAUACUGGGCGGCGACCGGCAAACGGGUGCGGAACACGUACGCAACUUACCCCUAACUAAGGGAUAGCCCAUAGAAAUGUGGAUUAACCCCUUAUAGUACAGUCGGACUGCAUGGUCUGAUUGUU
rnacentral:rRNA from 1 species